CGAAGCAUAGUUCAGUAGAAUACCUCUUUUACACUGAGUAGGUACUCGUUCAAUUCGAGUUGCUUUGA
rnacentral:tRNA from 1 species